rnacentral:misc_RNA from 1 species
GAAAUGCGAUAAGUAAUGUGAAUUGCAGAAUUCAGUGAAUCAUCGAAUCUUUGAACGCACAUUGCGCCCCCUGGUAUUCCGGGGGGCAUGCCUGUUCGAGCGACAUUUCACCACUCAAGCCUCGCUUGGUAUUGGGCGACGCGGUCCGCCGCGCGCCUCAAAUCGACCGGCUGGGUCUUUCGUCCCCUCAGCGUUGUGGAAACUAUUCGCUAAAGGGUGCCGCGGGAGGCCACGCCGUAAAACAACCCCAUUUCUAAGGUUGACCUCGGAUCAGGUAGGGAUACCCGCUGAACUUAAGC